AGUUGAGGUAGAGGCGCGAUGUAUCAAGAGUAAGCUCGUGGAGGCGGGGAGGCCGAUGAAACAAGCCAAAAGGGAUUAUCGCCGAAGUAUGGUUUAUCCCAAAGACCAUGCUGGGCCUAUAUCGAAUAGGUAUAGGACUGUCACCGAAGUAAUUCGGUGGAGAGCUACUUCAAGA
rnacentral:ncRNA from 2 species